UUUGAUCCGCCUGGUCACGCGGUCCAAUUACAAAGGGCAUUCUCGCCAAUUUAGGGGAAGGGAUUAUUUUGCUGGUCUUCGACAAAAGGUAAGAGGGUUAAAGAAGUAAAAUUGCCUCAUUAAAGAUUUCCUAUAUCUUAAGCCCAUGUGGUUCAUCCUUUGGGGCAAGAGAAAAGGGAAAGCUUUGUUCAAGUGCAGGGACUAGUAGAGCUUGAAGAAGAGAAACGCAUCGGUUCACGACGAAUCACCGAGGCGUGAAGGUAAUCAAAUCCUCCGUUUGUACGGCCUUCUGGGCACUCGGGAACAACUCGAUCUUUUCAAAGGUAACUUGUUCUCAAACACAAAAUCCGUUUUACAGUAAAUUUAUCACUGUGCUGCUCCUCCAGAAAAGCCCAACCUUCAUUCUUUAGUUCAAUACCAUCGAUAUAAAUAAGACACUUAAAAAAAAUACAGAUCCCCAUUUCGAAAUUGUCAUCACAUAUAUUGCUUAUUUUUCUUAUUACAUUCUUUUCAUUAAAACCGGUUGGUAUAAAUUGUUGGAUAUGUUGAACCCAGUAGUAUAGCAUUUUGGCCCUCACUCCACGGUUCCAUACCUCGCACACAAAGUGCAUGAAAUGGGGAUUCGACGGAGUGCAAAUUUAUGUGAAGCUAAAUACGGAUAAAAAUACAAGAUUGCAAGAAAAAUAUAAAUUCUAUUGAAAAUGUAAAUUGCGAGAAAAGCAAAUUGAUGUAAUGAAAAAGUAGAUACAAACGUAGAUUGUAGGUUUGCUUGAUUGUCGAAAUGGAGAGCUUUACACCUCUCUUGCAACUUCCAACUUUAAGGACGAAUACUAAAACGUGCAACUUCCCUGUACAUCUCUAAAGCUACAAGUUCUUUAUGCUUCUUGGCCGAGUUUCUCCAUCAGAUCAACUAAGUCAAUUCAUUUCAUUCUUUUAAGGCUACAAGAUAACAAAUUAUCAAAGUGAGAACGAACGUUACAUCAAACAUAGCCAAAAUUGACAUAUUAGUAAAAAUUGGAUACCAACAAUUUACUAUAAAUGUUUUUGUAUUAGCCCACUUUUGUUUGUGUCGACAUGUGUUCGGUUCGUAUUUGAUAAUCUUGAACUGUGUAACAUUCACUAGACUAUACUAUAUAUUUCCUUGUUUGCGCAUUUGCUCGAA